rnacentral:lncRNA from 1 species
AAACAGUUCGGCUUCAUGUCAACGAGACCAUUUCGACCUUGAAAGAUUGCAGGGUUUCGGAGGAUGCCGCGCUGGUCCUUCUUCCGGACAAUCUCUCCUUGGAUGGAUGGGGAGUGUGUUUCGCAGCAGAUCUGGCUCCUGGAGGCGAAGUUCAGUGUGUGACUGGAAACCCUCUACAGAAACCGGCGCCACGAUUUGGAUCACGAAGAUCCGGGCAGCAGAAUUCAGGAGAGGUGCUCGCCGCAGAGAAGGGCUCCGACACAAUCAUUCUGGACACUUUGGGAACAAACUGCAUCCAUUUGUUGCAGUUGGGACAUGUGGACAUUCACAUUCCAGCGGUGAGAACGGUACUGAAUGAGGAACGGAUUUCGUUUCGAAUUAUCGACGAAUUUCGGUUGAGGUCAUCGCUCUGCUCUUUCUUGGGGUUCCAGGUGUGAACGGAAAUCUGCCGCGCUGAGGAAAACGAGACGUUAUAGAUAUGGUUCAUAAUGACAAGCUCAUGAAUUCUGUCCGGAUGGAGGGAUUUUAACUACAGCCGCUUCUGCUCCGAUUUUCGGAGCACCAACUGGCUCAUGCGCCAUUGGUAAACAAGGGAACGAUGUCAGUAGAACGCGAAACCCUUGUCAGCUUACAUGCGGCGUUUACACUCAUGUCACUGAGUAAAUGAGCUGGACACGGCGGCUCGUGGAGAAACACACGUGAUGUGCUUUUUUUCCCAGAUGCUUUGUUUCGGAAGUGCUGACCGCAAGCAUCUCCUCAAUUUUCCUGUUAUUUUCACAAAAUCUUUUCUGUUACCGAAAGAAUGAGUAAGCAGGGUGACCAGAAUGUGCCGAAGAAGUGUGAUGGUGAUAAAACUUCAGAUGCAAACGUGAAAGGAAGGCUUCGACACUUCAGGAUAAGUUUCAUGUUAAGUAUUUUGAAGGAAGGGAAAGAAGACGUGAUAUGGCUCGCACGACUGGCCUAAGAGUCAAUGUUCCGUUGAAGCCGUCUUCACUUUUUUCAAGGUAAAGUCUUAAAUUUGCUGUAGUUUUUCUUUGAAUUUCCUAACGAAUUUAAGAUGUUUUAAACUGUGCUGACUUUUUUAGCGUUGUUAUUAAAAUCUGUAAUGCCUUGGUUAUGAAAUUGUUAGGUUUUAGUGGUCCGCCCCAACCCGAUUUUGCCCACUAGACCCCGUUAUUUUGAUGGCAUGAUUUUCCAUAACACAAAGUUUAACAUUACACAUCUGUCACAUUAUACCAGAAAUUACUGCAUUUGUCAUUUGUUCAAAACAAUUACUGUUGUUUGUAUUGGUGCUGCUGGAAAAUUAAAUGUGGCUUCCACAGCUAAACGAGUUAUUUUCGGACGCAAGUCCUUUCGAA